CACCGGCGGCUCGAGUGGUGGCCACUUUUAUUGGGUCUAAAACGUCCGUAGCCGGCUUGGCAAGUCCCCUGGGAAAUCUGGCGGCUUAACCGUCAGGCGUCCAGAGGAUACUGCCAGGCUUGGGACCGGGAGAGGUGAGAGGUACCUCAGGGGUAGGGGUGAAAUCUUGUGAUCCCUGAGGGACCACCAGUGGCGAAGGCGUCUCACUAGAACGGGUCCGACGGUCAGGGACGAAAGCUGGGGGCACGAACCGG
rnacentral:rRNA from 1 species